AUUGAACGCUGGCGGCAGGCCUAACACAUGCAAGUCGAGCGGCAGCGGGAAAGUAGCUUGCUACUUUUGCCGGCGAGCGGUGGACGGGUGAGUAAUGCCUGGGGAUCUGCCCAGUCGAGGGGGAUAACUACUGGAAACGGUAGCUAAUACCGCAUACGCCCUACGGGAGAAAGCAGGGGACCUUCGGGCCUUGCGCGAUUGGAUGAACCCAGGGGGGAUUAGCUAGUUGGUGAGGUAAUGGCUCACCAAGGCGACGAUCCCUAGCUGGUCUGAGAGGAUGAUCAGCCACACUGGAACUGGGACACGGUCCAGACUCCUACGGGAGGCAGCAGUGGGGAAUAUUGCACAAUGGGGGAAACCCUGAUGCAGCCAUGCCGCGUGUGUGAAGAAGGCCUUCGGGUUGUAAAGCACUUUCAGCGAGGAGGAAAGGUUGGUAGCUAAUAACUGCCAGCUGUGACGUUACUCGCAGAAGAAGCACCGGCUAACUCCGUGCCAGCCGCCGCCGUAA
rnacentral:rRNA from 1 species